rnacentral:rRNA from 1 species
GACGUAGGGGGCGAGCGUUGUCCGGAUUCACUGGGCGUAAAGCGCGCGUAGGCGGCUCGUUAAGUCGGAUGUGAAAACCCGGGGCUCAACCCCGGGCCUGCACCCGAUACUGGCGAGCUGGAGGCAGGUAGGGGAGAUCGGAAUUCCCGGUGUAGCGGUGAAAUGCGCAGAUAUCGGGAGGAACACCGGUGGCGAAGGCGGAUCUCUGGGCCUGUCCUGACGCUCAGGCGCGAAAGCGUGGGUAGCAAACAGG